rnacentral:misc_RNA from 1 species
ACCGUCGAAUUAAUUUAUAUUAAUUCGCCUUGUUUUAAAUGUUGGCUGGAGCUUGAACACCACCUUCUAUAAAUUCGCCUUGCUUUUGUUGUUUAUUUAGCGCAGCUGUCAAAAUUUUAGAAUCAGCAAGUGGACACGGAAAUCUUUGUUUUGUCUGAUUGGUACACAUGCUCAUUUUCCAAUUAACCCGCAAAGUCUACAGUCCAUUAUAUCGCUAUAAAUUAACAAAUCAAUACAGUGCGUGAUAAGACAUCAGUGACUUUUAAAUUCAGAAUUUUCAUUAUACCCUUGAAAGUAUCUACGGGGCUUUGUACGAAUUAGCCAGAUCCAAAGCAAAUUUUUGCGGGGUACUCAGUCGUGUGGGGUGACAACAAGCGUUGCGUGCAACGAGUGGCACACAUUGCGCAACUCCAACCAACUACCGCUAAAUGGUGCGGUAAUCAGUGAUAAUUGAAUGGAAAUCAAGAAAGUACAUACAUAUAUACAUGUAAUUGAAAGAAAGUAGACAAAAAAUCCAAGAAGCAAAACUAUCAGUGCCUAUCCAAAACGAAGCUAUGAAGAAACGGGCAGGGGGUUCACGCGGCAACAGCUCGCCUGAUGAUAGUGGUACUGAAAUUCAAGGUGAUGCAAACACAGGGGCUAAAACCAACAGCAAUGCUAACUCUAAUAAAACAGGCGCCGCCAGCGCGCCCACCACACCCACCAAGCAGCGAAGCUCAUCGUCCAUUUCAAGGGAUAAAGGACUUGAUGAGUUUGCCGAGACAUUUGUAAUUGUUAAUGAACGGCCCGUGGACGAUAUAUCGCUUGAUUUCUUCUAUAAACCGCAUACAAUAACAUUGUUCGCAAUCUCUGUACUUUCUGUGAUGUUCUUUGCUUUUGUCAGGAAUGAAACAAGUAUCGAGGAUAACAUUUGGGCUGGCAUAUUGUGUGCUGUGUUCUUCUUCUUAAUCAUUUCAUUGUUGGCAUUUCCGAAUGGCCCAUUUACCCGCCCACAUCCAGCACUAUGGCGUAUAAUAUUCGGCUGCUCGGUAUUGUAUCUAUUAAUGCUACAGUUUCUCAUGUUUCAAAAUUACAAAACUAUAAUGAACAUACUCUAUUGGCUGGACCCGAAAUUGCAAAACUUUCACAUCGACAUGGAGAAGGAAUAUGGUUCCAAUUGCUCUGAUUUCAGCUUUGAGCGCAUAAAAAGCUCAAUCGAUGUAUUCGCUUGGGGCCAUUUUUUUGGAUGGGCCUUCAAAGCCGUACUCAUACGACACGCUGGUAUUCUGUGGGCUAUAUCUGUGAUGUGGGAAAUUACUGAAAUUACUUUCGCGCAUUUGCUACCGAAUUUCGUUGAAUGUUGGUGGGAUGCGCUCAUCUUGGAUGUAAUCGUAUGUAAUGGUUUGGGCAUCUGGGUAGGCUUGAAAAUUUGUAAAGCCCUCGAAAUGCGCGAGUAUAAGUGGGCGAGCAUUAAGGAUAUUUCAUCUACGACGGGUAAAAUUAAGCGUGUUGUGUUGCAAUUCACACCGGAGAGCUUCACAUCUAUACGGUGGCUGGAUCCCAAGUCAACAGCGAUGCGUUUUGCGGCAGUUUGUCAAUUGGUUAUAUUUUGGCAGGUGACGGAACUCAAUACUUUCUUCAUCAAGCAUAUUUUUGAAAUGCCUCCAGAUCAUUAUCUCGUCAUUGGCCGUCUCGUUUUCAUUGGCCUCUUUGUAGCGCCCUCAGUGAGGCAAUACUACACUUACGUGACGGAUACUCGUUGCAAACGUGUUGGCACUCAAUGUUGGGUGUACGGCGCUAUUAUGGUCUCAGAAGCAAUACUUUGCCUAAAGAAUGGCAAAGAGCUUUUCGAACGUACACAAGCCAUAAAUAUUAUUUUGUGGUUAAUCAUGCAGGUCAUUGUAUCAGUGGCCUUUGUUUAUGGUUGCAUGCUGUGGCAGCGCGCACAGAACAAGUAUAAUAAGUCAACGGAAUCGCCCAGCAAAAAGGGUGGCGCACAAAAAGACAGUGAUUCUGCGCGAAAAGGCGUAGUGAAGGACUACAAUCACUUCUUACAUCCGCAAUCGCUCGCAUUAAAACUAAAAAAUGUUUUCAGAGAACGCUCCGAUAGAACACUAUGUGAUGAUACACUAGAAGACAUUAAAAUAAAAAUCGUUUGAGAAUUGAUUAUUUAGCAUGUUAAGGCUUAUUUAGCUUGCUAGGAUUUCCUAAUGCUUUAUUUUCAUAAUUAAAUUUUAAAAUUGUUUUUUGGUUGUUAAAAAUACUUUUUGUUGAGCCAAAUUUUGCUUUUACAAAUCUCUAAUUUUGUACUCAACGGUCAACUUUUGUAUGAGAUAUACUCUGCGUUUCCAAUUUCUUAGUUUUUCCUGUUUAUGGAAAUGAAAGAUUCAAACCUCGGAUCUCUGGAGUGAGAGUUGCAAGCGCUGGUUCACAACAAAUAGCUUUCCGUGCAGGAUUGAAAAUCUCGUAUGCGCUUAUCGGCAAGCAAUCACCAAAAA